GAUGAACGCUGGCGGCGUGCCUAAUACAUGCAAGUCGAGCGAACAGACGAGGUGCUUGCUCCUCUGACGUUAGCGGCGGACGGGUGAGUAACACGUGGAUAACCUACCUAUAAGACUGGGAUAACUUCGGGAAACCGGAUCUAAUACCGGAUAAUAUAUUGAACCGCAUGGUUCAAUAGUGAAAGACGGUUUUGCUGUCACUUAUAGAUGGAUCCGCGCCGCAUUAGCUAGUUGGUAAGGUAACGGCUUACCAAGGCAACGAUGCGUAGCCGACCUGAGAGGGUGAUCGGCCACACUGGAACUGAGACACGGUCCAGACUCCUACGGGAGGCAGCAGUAGGGAAUCUUCCGCAAUGGGCGAAAGCCUGACGGAGCAACGCCGCGUGAGUGAUGAAGGUCUUCGGAUCGUAAAACGCUGUUAUUAGGGAAGAACAAAUGUGUAAGUAACUAUGCACGUCUUGACGGUACCUAAACAGAAAGCCACGGCUAACUACGUG
rnacentral:rRNA from 1 species